rnacentral:lncRNA from 1 species
UGAAAUCCCAUCAUUCCAGAGAGCUCCACAAAAUCAGCAUUGCUUGCAGCUGCUCAUGCCACUGCUGGGUCUUGCUGUUGCUUCGUCAGCAUCAAACCGUGCUGUAGCAAAAAAUGACAGCGAUACUUCAGGUAUAACUGCACGUUUCAAGAGAUCUUUACUGCGUGGUGCAGAUUACGUACAAUGCAACGGUGUAUCCACAGAAGAGGAAAACAUUCACAAAUAAUAUUCUUCAAUAUCUGUAAAAGCCUGAAGUAUUUGGAACUCAUCAGCUCGGUGCUGAUGAAGACUUCAAUACAAG